rnacentral:rRNA from 1 species
GGGGGACAACAUUCGGAAACGGAUGCUAAUACCCCAUAGGUGGAUUGGUCGCAUGACGAAUUCAUUAAAGGUGGCUUUGCUACCACUCAUGGAUAGCCUCGCGGCGUAUUAGCUAGUUGGUAAGGUAAUGGCUUACCAAGGCAGUGAUACGUAGCCGACUUGAGAGGGUUAUCGGCCACACUGGGACUGAGACACGGCCCAG